rnacentral:rRNA from 1 species
UAGAGUUUGAUCCUGGCUCAGGAUGAACGCUAGCGGCGUGCCUAAUGCAUGCAAGUCGAACGGGAUUCCCUGACUUCGGUUGGGGAUGAGAGUGGCGCACGGGUGAGUAACACGUAGGUGACCUGCCCUCGGGAGGGGGACAACCAGUGGAAACGCUGGCUAAUACCCCGGAUGUCAAUCUAGUUAGAGAGGAAUGACUAAAGCUCCGGUGCCCGAGGAGGGGCCUGCGACCCAUCAGCUAGUUGGUAGGGUAAAAGCCUACCAAGGCAAAGACGGGUAGGGGGCGUGAGAGCGUGGCCCCCCACACUGGUACUGACACACGGACCAGAUACCUACGGGUAGCAGCAGCAAGGAAUAUUGCGCAAUGGGGGAAACCCUGACGCAGCAACGCCGCGUGGAGGAUGAAGGCCUUCGGGUUGUAAACUCCUUUUCUGGGGGAAGAGAAAGGACGGUACCCCAGGAAUAAGGCCCGGCUAACUACGUGCCAGCAGCCGCGGUAAAACGUAGGGGCCAAGCGUUAUCCGGAAUUACUGGGCGUAAAGGGCGCGUAGGCGGUUACUUAAGUUGGACGUGAAAGCUCCUGGCUCAACUGGGAGAGGUCGUUCAAAACUGGGUAAACUAGAGGAUGGUAAGGCGAGUGGAAUUCCCGGUGUAUGGUGAAAUGCGUAAUUUCGGGAGGAACACCAUUGGCGAAGGCGGCUCGCUGGGCCAUAACUGACGCUGAGGCGCGAAAAGCCAGGGGAGAGAACGGGAUUUAGAAACCCCGGUAUUCCUGGCCGUAAACGAUGUCAACUAAGUGUAGAGAGCCGUAAAGGUUAGCUGUGCUGAAGCAAAACGCGAUAAGUUGACCGCCUGGGGAGUACGGCCGCAAGGCUAAAACUCAAAGGAAUUGACGGGGGCCCGCACAAGCAAGCGGAGCGUGUGGUUUAAUUCGAGGCUACGCGAAGAACCUUACCAGGGUUUGACAUGCACGUGGUAGGCAUUGGAAACAAUGCUGACCCUUCGGGGAGCGUGCACAGGUGCUGCAUGGCUGUCGUCAGCUCGUGCCGUGAGGUGUUAGGUUAAGUCCUGUAACGAGCGCAACCCUCGUCGUUAGUUAUACGUGUCUAACGAGACUGCCGGUGAUAAGCCGGAGGAAGGUGGGGAUGACGUCAAGUCAGCAUGGCCUAUAUAUCCUGGGCUACACACACGCUACAAUGGCCGGUACAAUGGGCAGCGAAAUCGCGAGAUGAAGCCAAUCCUGAAAAGCCGGUCUCAGUUCGGAUUGCAGGCUGCAACUCGCCUGCAUGAAGUCGGAGUUGCUAGUAAACGCGCGUCAGCCACAGUGCGUUGAAUACGUUCCCGAGCCUUGUACACACCGCCCGUCACGUCAUGGAAGUUGGCAACGCCUGAAGUCGGUGGGCUAACCCUCACGGGAGGCAGCCGCCUAAGGCGGGGUCGGUAACUGGGACGAAGUCGUUACAAGGUAGCUGUAGCGGAAGCUGCGGCUGGAUCACCUCCU